CGGACGGGUGAGUAACGCGUGAGAAUUUGCCUUUAGGAGGGGGACAACAAUUGGAAACGAAUGCUAAUACCCCAUAUGCUUUCGAGUGAAAUGGAUUUUAUCCGCCUAGAGAGAAGCUCGCGGCUGAUUAGCUUGUUGGUAAGGUAAGAGCUUACCAAGGCGACGAUCAGUAUCUGGUUUGAGAGGACGAUCAGACACACUGGAACUGAGACACGGUCCAGACUCCUACGGGAGGCAGCAGUGGGGAAUUUUCCGCAAUGGGCGAAAGCCUGACGGAGCAAUACCGCGUGAGGGAAGAAUGCCUAUGGGUUGUAAACCUCUUUUUUCAGGGAGGAAUAAAAUGACGUGUACCUGAAGAAUAAGCAUCGGCUAACUCCGUGCCAGCAGCCGCGGUAAGACGGAGGAUGCAAGUGUUAUCCGGAAUCACUGGGCGUAAAGCGUCUGUAGGUGGUUUAAUAAGUCAACUGUUAAAUCUUGAUGGCUCAACUUCAAAAUCGCAGUCGAAACUAUUAGACUAGAGUAUAGUAGAGGUAAAGGGAAUUUCCAGUGGAGCGGUGAAAUGCGUAGAUAUUGGAAAGAACACCGAUGGCGAAAGCACUUUACUGGGCUAUUACUAACACUCAGAGACGAAAGCUAGGGUAGCAAAUGGGAUUAGAUACCCCAGUAGUC
rnacentral:rRNA from 1 species